rnacentral:rRNA from 1 species
GAACGGGUGAGUAACACGUGGGUGAUCUGCCUUGCACUCUGGGAUAAGCUUGGGAAACUGGGUCUAAUACCGGAUAGGAACCGUCUUUAGUGUGGUGGUUGGAAAGUUUUUCGGUGCAAGAUGAGCUCGCGGCCUAUCAGCUUGUUGGUGGGGUAAUGGCCUACAAAGGCGUCGACGGGUAGCCGGCCUGAGAGGGUGUACGGCCACAUUGGGACUGAGAUACGGCCCAG